rnacentral:rRNA from 1 species
UACAGGAGGUCCCAAGCGUUGUUCGGAUUCACUGGGCGUAAAGGGUGCGUAGGCGGUCGGGUAAGUCUGAUGUGAAAUCUCACAGCUUAACUGUGGAAACUGCAUUGGGAUACUAUCCGGGCUCGAGGAAUGGAGGGGAGACUGGAAUACUUGGUGUAGCAGUGAAAUGCGUAGAUAUCAAGUGGAACACCAGUGGCGAAGGCGAGUCUCUGGACAUUUCCUGACGCUGAGGCACGAAAGCCAGGGGAGCAAACGGGA